rnacentral:rRNA from 1 species
AUUGAACGCUGGCGGCAUGCCUUACACAUGCAAGUCGAACGGUAACAGGUUAAGCUGACGAGUGGCGAACGGGUGAGUAAUAUAUCGGAACGUGCCCAGUCGUGGGGGAUAACUGCUCGAAAGAGCAGCUAAUACCGCAUACGACCUGAGGGUGAAAGCGGGGGAUCGCAAGACCUCGCGCGAUUGGAGCGGCCGAUAUCAGAUUAGGUAGUUGGUGGGGUAAAGGCCCACCAAGCCAACGAUCUGUAGCUGGUCUGAGAGGACGACCAGCCACACUGGGACUGAGACACGGCCCAGACUCCUACGGGAGGCAGCAGUGGGGAAUUUUGGACAAUGGGGCGCAAGCCUGAUCCAGCCAUGCCCGCGUGCGGGAAAGAAGGGCCCUUUCGGGGUUGUAAAACCCGCUUUUGUC